AAUAGUUAUACAUGUAUGAAUCAAAGGCCUGCUCUGAUAUCAAUUGAAUGGAAGAAAAACUAUUAAUGUACAUGAAUAAGAAUCAAAUCUUUAUCUAGAUAGUAAUGGAAUAGAAGAUCCAAUCUCUAAAAAUCUAAAAUCAACCUUCACAGAGGCUUGGAUGUGCAGACCAUCUACUUCGCAUGCACACCAGAUAAUGCAGAAAAGUAGGAUGAACUCCGAUCAAAUCACCUUCACAACCCAACC
rnacentral:lncRNA from 1 species